rnacentral:rRNA from 1 species
AGAGUUUGAUCCUGGCUCAGAUUGAACGCUGGCGGCAUGGCUAAAACAUGCAAGUCGAACGCGAAAGAGGAGCUUGCUCCUCGAGUAGAGUGGCGAAAGGGCGAGUAAUGCGUUUCUAACGUGCCCCAAGGUCGGGGAUAGCUCAUCGAAAGGUGAAUUAACACCCGAUAAACCCACCCACCGCAUGGUGUGGUGGGCAAAAGCUUGCUGCCUUGGGAUCGGGGAACGUGCUAUCAGGUUGUUGGUGAGGUAAAAGCUCACCAAGCCUAAGACGGCUAGCGGGUGUGAGAGCACGACCCGCCGCAUCGGGACUGAGACACUGCCCGGACUCCUACGGGAGGCUGCAGUAACGAAUAUUCCGCAAUGCGCGAAAGCGUGACGGAGCAAUGCCGCGUGCAGGAUGAAGCCCCUCGGGGUGUAAACUGCUGUCAGGGGCUAGAAACACAAUGAUCAGCCCCAGAGGAAGAGCCGGCUAACUCUGUGCCAGCAGCCGCAGUAAUACAGAGGGCUCAAGCGUUAAUCGGUAUCACUGGGCUUAAAGGGUGCGUAGGCGGGCCCGCAAGUGCUUUGUGAAAGCCCACGGCUCAACCGUGGAAUAGCUUGGCAGACUGCGGGCCUUGAGGUUGGUAGGGGCUGUCGGAACUCUAGGUGUAGCGGUGAAAUGCGUAGAUAUCUAGAGGAACGCCAAAGGUGAAGACAGACAGCUGGGCCAAUCCUGACGCUGAGGCACGAAAGCAUGGGUAGCGAACGGGAUUAGAUACCCCGGUAGUCCAUGCCCUAAACGAUGUGUACUAGAUCGUGGAGGUUUUGACACCAUCACGGUCGAAGCAAAAGUGUUAAGUACACCGCCUGGGGAGUACGGUCGCAAGAUUAAAACUCAAAGGAAUUGACGGGGGCUCACACAAGCGGUGGAGCAUGUGGCUUAAUUCGAAGCAACGCGAAGAACCUUAUCCUGGGCUUGACAUGUAUGGAUUAACCGCUGGAAACAGCAGCAACGCCCUCGGGUGGAACAUACACAGGUGCUGCAUGGCUGUCGUCAGCUCGUGCUGUGAAGUGUCGGGUUAAGUCCCUUAACGAGCGAAACCCCUAUCGUUAGUUGCCAGCGAGUCAUGUCGGGGACUCUAACGAGACUGCCGGUGUCAAACCGGAGGAAGGUGGGGACGACGUCAAGUCCUCAUGGCCUUUAUGCCCUGGGCUGCACACGUGCUACAAUGGUGCGAACAAAGCGAAGCGAUACCGCAAGGUGGAGCAAAUCGCAAAAAUCGCGCCCCAGUUCGGAUUAUGGUCUGCAAUUCGACCAUAUGAAGUCGGAAUCGCUAGUAAUCGCGUAUCAGCUACGACGCGGUGAAUACGUUCCUGAGCCUUGUACACACCGCCCGUCAAGUCAUGGAAGCUGGUAGUACCCGAAGCCGCCCCGUCUCAGGGGUGUCGACGGUAAGAUCGGUGACUGGGACUAAGUCGAAACAAGGUA